AGGGAUUUUCUUAGUUUUGAGAUCAUCAAUACUACAAAGAUGCAGGCAAAUCUACAUAACAAAAACUCUAAUAGAGAAGUGGACCUGAGAGAUUGCAUCAUUUACAGUAACGAUCGGCCUUCUUCUUCACUCGGUCGUCGAGGGCAUCCUCCAUAGAUUUGAAAUUUGAUUUUUCAUUAUAACCGAAUUUCUUGGCCUCCACGGGGAAGAGCUCCUCGUACUGGAGGCGCUUCGCCGCAUCGAUUGUGUAAACCUCGCCUGCAGCACCAACAUCGCCGCCAGUUUCAGUAUUCUCUGUCUCUACCUCGGCAGCGGAGGAUAUAUUUGUUUCAUCCUUAAUCUUGUUCUUUUUCUUCUUCUUCUUCUUGUCGAUGGCUUUGCUGGUGGUGGCGACGCUUCCUCCCUUGAAGGUGAGUCUCCCUUCUUUCACUUUCUCAUAUGGAUUCGACAUCGCAUUGCACAGCUCUUGGCCGCAUUCUUACCCUCGC
rnacentral:misc_RNA from 1 species